ACGCCGCAGCUGCCUUAUGUCGGGACAUUUCAUGUUAUCAUGUCAUAGCGUGAUGUUAACUUGUCAAAACAGUGUCUUAUUAUGUUUAAAAGCUAUGUUAUUAUGUCAAGAUGUGGUGUUAACUUGUCAAAACAGUGUCUUAUUAUGUUAAAACGCUAUGUUAUCUUGUUAAAGUGUCUGUCGUGUUAUCUUGUCUACUGAGCGUGCUAUUAUGUUUUAAAGCUAUGUUAUUAUGUCAAAGUGUGGUGUUAACUUGUCGAAACAGUGUUUUAUUAUGUCAAAAAGCUAUGUUAAUAUGUCAAAGUGUGGUGUUAACUUGUCGAAACAGUGUCUUAUUAUGUCAAAAAGCUAUGUUAUUAUGUCAAAAUGUGGUGUUAACUUGUCGAAACAGUGUCUUAUCAUGUCAAAAAACUAUGUUAUUAUGUCGAAAUGCGGUGUUAACUUGUCGAAACAGUGUCUUUUUAUGUCAAAAAGCUGUGUUAUUAUGUCGAAGUGCGGUGUUAACUUGUCAAAACAGUGUCUUAUUAUGUUGAAAAGCUAUGUUAACAUGUCAAAGUAUGAUCUUGUUUGCAGAGUGUGUUACUAUGUUAAAAAGCUAUGAUAUCUUGUUAAAGUAUCGUAUGAUUUUGUUUACCGAGCGUGCUAUUAUGUAAAAAAGCUAUGCUUUCUUGUCAAAGUGUUGUGUUAACUUGUCAAAACAGUGUCUUAUUAUGUUAAAAUGUUAUGUUAUCAUGUCAAAGUGCGAUGUUAUCAUGUCAAAAUGUGGUGUUAACUUGUCGAAAUGGUGUCUUAUUAUGUUAAGUGCUAUGUUAUUAUGUCAGAGUACAAUGUGAUCUUGUCUACAGAGCGUGUUAUUAUGUUAAAACGUUAUGAUAUCAUGUCAAAGUACCGUGCGAUCUUGUCUACCGAGCGUGCUAUUAUGUUAAAAAGCUAUGUUAUCUUGUCCAAGUGUGGUGUUAACUUGUCAAAACAGUGUUUUAUUAUGUUAAUACGUUAUAUUAUUAUGUCAAAGUGUGAUGUUAACUUGUCAAAACAGUGUCUUAUUAUGUUAAAUGCUAUGUUAUUAUGUCAAAAUACCAUGUGAUCUUGUCUAACCAGCGUGCUAUUAUGUUAAAAAGCUAUCUUAUCUU